rnacentral:rRNA from 1 species
UACCAGCACCCCGAGUGGUCGGGACGAUUAUUGGGCCUAAAGCAUCCGUAGCCGGUCCUGCAAGUCUUCCGUUAAAUCCAGCUGCUCAACAGAUGGGCUGCGGGGGAUACUACAGGGCUAGGAGGCGGGAGAAGCAAGCGGUACUUUAUGGGUAGGGGUAAAAUCCGUUGAUCCAUAGAAGACCACCAGUGGCGAAGGCGGCUUGCCAGAACGCGCUCGACGGUGAGGGAUGAAAGCUGGGGGAGCAAACCGG